AUUGAACGCUGGCGGCAUGCCUUACACAUGCAAGUCGAACGGCAGCACGGGAGCAAUCCUGGUGGCGAGUGGCGAACGGGUGAGUAAUGUAUCGGAACGUACCUUUCAGUGGGGGAUAACGUAGCGAAAGUUACGCUAAUACCGCAUAUUCUGUGAGCAGGAAAGCAGGGGAUCGCAAGACCUUGCGCUGAUUGAGCGGCCGAUAUCAGAUUAGCUAGUUGGUGAGGUAAAGGCUCACCAAGGCGACGAUCUGUAGCGGGUCUGAGAGGAUGAUCCGCCACACUGGAACUGAGACACGGUCCAGACUCCUACGGGAGGCAGCAGUGGGGAAUUUUGGACAAUGGGCGCAAGCCUGAUCCAGCCAUGCCGCGUGAGUGAAGAAGGCCUCGGUUGUAAGACUCUUUCAGUCCGGAGAAACGACGAUGGUUAAGUAACCUCGUGUGGAGUGACGGUACCGGAACGU
rnacentral:rRNA from 1 species